rnacentral:rRNA from 1 species
AACGAACGCUGGCGGCAUGCCUAACACAUGCAAGUCGAACGCGUGGCUUCGGCCACGAGUGGCGCACGGGUGAGUAGCGCGUGGGAACCUGCCCUUCGGUACGGAAUAACCUCGGGAAACUGUGGCCAAUACCGUAUACGCCCCAUGGGGGAAAGAUUUAUCGCCGAAGGAGGGGCCCGCGUCCGAUUAGGUAGUUGGUGAGGUAACGGCUCACCAAGCCUUCGAUCGGUAGCUGGUCUGAGAGGAUGAUCAGCCACACUGGGACUGAGACACGGCCCAGACUCCUACGGGAGGCAGCAGUGGGGAAUAUUGGACAAUGGGGGAAACCCUGAUCCAGCAAUGCCGCGUGAG